rnacentral:lncRNA from 1 species
AGAGGGGGGCAGGAAGCCAGAGGGACACCGCCCGGCGGGGCCUGGGCAGAGGGCGGCGUGACUGCCCACCUUUUAGGGGCUCUCUGGCAAGGGUGGGGCAGGAGCGCUCCCCAGGGACAGCAAGAAUCCAGGACAGAAAACCCAGCCAGGACAGAAAAGGUGGAAGCGUCAGAUCUGAAGGCAAAGCCGUUUUAAGACACGCUGAUAGAUUCGUCACAGGGGGUGAGAAAAGAAAGGAAGUCUCAGGACUGCAAGCCUGUGGUCUGUGCCACAGGGAGGGUGUCUGCCGGGAAGAGAGGCUGGGAGAAGCCAUGAGCCAGCCUGGCCGGGGCGGGGCGGGGGCUGGAGGUCCGCAAGGCUUAGGCCCUGGGCGUCCAGGCGGGGCUGGAGGGCCGGAUGGGCUGGGAAGGGCUGAGAGACGUGGGACAGGUGGGCAGGGUAGAGGCCGAGGCGUGGCGGGUGCGUGGGUUGCGAGCUGGGAAACGAAGAGACGUGUGGCAGGUGCAGACCGAGCUGACGCUGGGCUGGGAGGAGCAGAGAAGCCCCGAGCCGCCUGCGGGUGAGGAAACAGAAGCCUGGAAUGGGCAGUGCCUGUGCGGAGGCCACACAGCACGAGGCAGGCUUCCAGCACACACCUGCGAGGGCUGGUACCCACCACCGUGCCCGGCCCUGGUGGUGGUCCUGGGAUGUUCAGCCUUUGACCCCACACGCCUCACCGUUCCUCUGUGUCGCUGGGUUGUGCAAGACCAUGUCAGCUUUGACAGCGAAAUCCACUGCGAGAUGGACCACCCAGAGCCUCUGACAUUUGGUGUUGGAACAGACAGGGAACACGUGCGCAGCUCUCCGUGUUUGUCCCCGUGGACAUCUGCUGUCUUAGCCGCCCACGGCUCUCCCUCCUGGAGUUGUUCUGGAUACGCUCUGCUCUCCACCUCGACCACAGGUAUCGUCCUAGAACCCCUGCAGACAGGAGGCGCCUUCGUGCUGGUGUCCUUGCGCAGUGGGCAUCCAGGGGCUGCGACAGCCACCGCCCCUCCACCUGGAGGAGCCCACUUGGAC